CGAGGUCUAGGAAGUUGCUGCUCUGUCUAUGAACGGCUGACUGGGAUUUAGAAAGAGUAGUCGGUUUCUGCUCAUGUAAAUGGCUCAAGCUCAGUGGUUGACCGUAUGAUUCUAUGUAGUUGCUCAUGUCUGCGAUCCCUUCCCUGUUCCCACAUCAAUCAUGUUGUUCUGUUCAUUGAGUCAUUUUCAGAAACAACUAUAUGGAUUGUUGUCUAUUCAUUAAUUCGUUAAUUUGUUUGUACCUUACAUGGAUAAGACGACCUGUGCAGACGAAAUAGAUUCGACAAGCUACAGAAGCCUGGCAGUGGACUGAUAACGCCUUUCUGGACUUGAUCUGCAUCAUAUUCCUGCAUUUUGAACGGUGAGAAAUUAUACAGCAACUAAAUAUGAUGAGUGGUGCAUGCUUAUAAGUGGUUCUGCUCUUAUUUAUUCUACCUGGAAUAGCUUUUGUCAGAUGCCGCCCCCAUAACAAGUUGUCUAAUACCACAGUUAGAAAUGGUGUCCAGAAUUCCCUUCACAACUGAAUCGUUCUCAAUGAGCAACUUAUGAGCUUUGAACUGUGAGUCAACAAGCAAGGACAAAUCAAUUUUCGGUUUUGUCUGAAUAGCUAGCUAUAUGUAGGUGUUUAGAGGUGAGAUGAUUCAAUAGUGCAAGUGAGAUAAAAGAGUUUUGACAGUAUUGAUAUAUAGCACUGCAGGCUUACCCCCAUGCUGUUACAAAUGCAGAUGUAGUGAUCGAGUAUCUUAUGAGCUCCACCCCGUUCGAUCUCCUCGUCCUGAAUCCCAGAGCAUCCUCCAUUAGAAAGAGAUGGCGGUUGGUGAACGAGAAUGAGGCAGAUGUCGUCGGCGGCAGAAUGGUUGUGUAGUGCCCACAUCAACACAGACUUGCUGUCUUGAACAACCUUUCCAACUGCUACGUACACCUUUUGUCCAACUAGUGAUUUGCUCGACAU
rnacentral:lncRNA from 1 species